rfam:Triticum aestivum genome assembly, contig: Triticum_aestivum_CS42_TGACv1_scaffold_049844_1BS
CUUAUACUCCCUCCGUCCCAUAAUUCUUGUCUUAGAUUUGUCUAGAUACGAAUGAAUCAAGACAAGAGAUACAUCUGUAUCUAGACAUUUCUAAGACAAGAAUUUUGGGACGGAGGGAGUACAUC